GAUGAACGCUGGCGGCGUGCCUAAUACAUGCAAGUCGAGCGACCAGACGAGGAGCUUGCUCCUCUGCCGUUAGCGGCUGACGGGUGAGUAACACGUGGAUAACCUACCUAUAAGACUUGGAUAACUUCGGGAAACCGGAGCUACUACCGGAUAAUAUAUUGAACCGCAUGGUUCAAUAGUGAAAGAGGCUUUUGCUGUCACUUUUAGAUGGAUCCGCGCCGCAUUAGCUAGUUGGUAAGGUAACGGCUUACCAAGGCGACGAUGCGUAGCCGACCUGAGAGGGUGAUCGGCCACACUGGAACUGAGACACGGUCCAGACUCCUACGGGAGGCAGCAGUAGGGAAUCUUCCACAAUGGGCGAAAGCCUGACGGAGCAACGCCGCGUGAGUGAUGAAGGUCUUCGGAUCGUAAAACUCUGUUAUUAGGGAAGAACAAAAGUGUAAUUAACUAUGCACGUCUUGACGGUACCUAAUCAGAAAGCCACGGCUAACUACGUG
rnacentral:rRNA from 1 species